UACAGAGGAUGCAAGCGUUAUCCGGAAUGAUUGGGCGUAAAGCGUCUGUAGGUGGCUUUUUAAGUCCGCCGUCAAAUCCCAGGGCUCAACUCUGGACAGGCGGUGGAAACUACCAAGCUGGAGUACGGUAGGGGCAGAGGGAAUUUCCGGUGGAGCGGUGAAAUGCGUAGAGAUGUGGAGGAAUACCGAUGGCGAAGGCAGCCUCCUGGGAUAACACUGACGCUCAUGCACGAAAGCGUGGGGAGCAAACAGG
rnacentral:rRNA from 1 species